GGUUAAGCGACUAAGCGUACACGGUGGAUGCCCUGGCAGUCAGAGGCGAUGAAGGACGUGCUAAUCUGCGAAAAGCGUCGGUAAGGUGAUAUGAACCGUUAUAACCGGCGAUGUCCGAAUGGGGAAACCCAGUGCAAUUCGUUGCACUAUCGUUAACUGAAUACAUAGGUUAACGAGGCGAACCGGGGGAACUGAAACAUCUAAGUACC
rnacentral:rRNA from 1 species